UUUAUAAUAUACCGUAACGGUACCCAAAUUGCAACGAGUACCUAAAUUGCACCUAUUUAGCAAAAAUAGCAGUGGAAGUCUUACAAGAUUUCCUAGAGACUAAACAAGUUGUAUUUUUAUGAUCCGAUAGUAUGCACGUCUUUCAACAUAGGUAAAUAUAUUUAGAUAUACACAAAACGUUUACAGUAUUUAUCAACAAAUGAAGUGUUUACUGAAAAAGCAAAAUGUACUGAAACGUCGCCAUGCGACGUCAUCAAAACGUCAUCUUUUUAAAAUUAGCAAAUACAAUAUGUUUCAAGUAUCCAUUUCUUAAAAAAAGAAGAGUAAGCAUGGACAAAUAUCCAAUUGUUCAAAAUAUUU
rnacentral:lncRNA from 1 species